AUUAGAUGGAACUGUCGUAAGAGAUCUGUAUCUGCAAUCAACAGUCUUACCCGAGCAACUACAUGAGGUAGGGCAUCCAUUGACGGUGAUGCAGGAUGGAUAUAAAAGUUAAAAUGUCUAAUUGUACUUGCAUUUCUACCUAAAUUUCCUUUAUUUGUAAAAUCAUUUUGAUUUUUUUUCUCCCCAUAAUCUGACAUAGGUGUUAGGGGAGAACAUCAAGGGGGAGACCAUUCACUACUAUUUUUCCAUAUCUUACUUUCCUGUAUGGGAAAGAUCGUUUUUUCCCACUGCUUUUGCUAAAAAAAAAAUAUAACAAACUAUUUACUAAAAUACAUUUAAAAAUUAUUUUUGUUGAGCCUUUGAGUGAAUACAAAAAAGCGAGACAUAGUGAUCCUAAAUUCUGUUUCUUCAGCGUCC
rnacentral:lncRNA from 1 species